rnacentral:lncRNA from 1 species
AAUUAUAAAGUAACUAUACAUUAUAAAUUCCCAAUCUUAGUUACUUUAGGAAAAUGUGAAUUUGGUGCUAGCCCAUAAAAUUACAAUUUGUACCUUACCAACUCAUUAGUGGAGCGUGUGUGGUUCACCGGCACACUAACAUGGACUAGUAAGAGUGGAAAAGGGUAACUUGACUUUAUUAUAGAUCGGUGGAGCAUGUGUGGUUAACCGGAACUAUACAUUAUAAAUUCCCAAUCUUAGUUACUUUAGGAAAAUGUGAAUUUGGUGCUAGCCCAUAAAAUUACAAUUUGUACCUUACCAACUCAUUAGUGGAGCGUGUGUGGUUCACCGGCACACUAACAUGGACUAGUAAGAGUGGAAAAGGGUAACUUGACUUUAUUAUAGAUCGGUGGAGCAUGUGUGGUUAACCGGCACAUCGAUUAGGUAAUAUUGAUAAGGGUACCAAGUCAAUUUGUAUGGUUAUUCACACCUUGUUUGUGAUCCUCGGCAUCCCAGUCACAAACUUGAGAGGGCACAUUCGAGAUUCAAACAUGCCAUUGAAAAGUUCAAUGUAUCUCAAAAGAUCUAGGAGUUUCAAAACCAAUAAAACCUAAUAAUAAAAUAUUUCGUCUUAUGGUGGAAAUUGGUAAAUCGUCAUUUACCUACCUUCAAAU